GGCGUUAUAGCUCAGUUGGGAGAGCAGCAGACUGAAGUUUCUUCUGUAAUCUGAAGGUCCGGUGUUCGAGCCACCGUAAUGCCA